rnacentral:lncRNA from 1 species
GCUGGAAGACAUGGCCAGAGGCACGGCCACACUGCUGCUCCACAGCCAUCUCCAGCGUGAAGGUCAGGUCAGGGCUGCUACAAGGUGCAGAGCAGUGAGGAGAUGGUUAAGGCUGGCAGGAGGGCUGGGAUGGGGCUGUGGAAGGGAUAUCAUUGCAGAGCCACAGCCGAGCUCUGGGAGGUGGUGCAGAGAAAGGGGAGAUGGAGGGAGAUCCACGGAGUGGGGCUCCUCCUGGGAAUGCAUGAACUCUCCUCCGCGAGUGGAGACCCCAGAGAGCAGCAGGGCAGUCACAGCGAUCCCCUGCUGCCGGCCAGCGGCGACAGCCGUUUGCUGGAAAGGGCGUUCGCCGGGAAGAAUCGCGGAUGGCGAUUGCUGGGGCGGCAGCCGGGGCAGGGACAGGCAGGGAGAGGCAGCGGAGCCUCGGCGACGCCAACCAGCCCGAGCAAAGCCGAUCCCACCAGUGCCCACGCUCACCCGCUGUCCCUCCCUCCUCGUGCAAAUCACUUUCGCGGCACCAACACUCCCGUUCCUCCUCGGAGGUGGCAUCUCCAGCACCUGGAUCGAGUCGUGCCUCUACCCGUCACACGGGGCUAUUUAUACAUCCAAGGCGCAAGGUGAAAAAUCCAAUAACCUACACACAAUAACGGAGAGCAACAAGCGCCGGCACCUCCCGGGAGGGCUCCCGGAGCCCUUCUGCCAAGCAGGCUCCUGGACACCCUCGCAAUCCCCCGCUGCCCUGUGGAGCUCCUUUAACAUUAACCACUUCUUUUUUCUGCCAGACACAAACCGAGGGCAGAGCCCGCGCCGGCAGCCUGACCCUGGCCCAGCAUCUCUGGGUUGGCUCCCGGCUCCGGGGUGCGGGGCUCAGCCCAGGCAGGGCUUCAGAGCCCCCAGAGCCCUCUCGGAGUGUGAGGAAUCGCCCCACUCGGCAUUAACUCCCCACGUCCCCGACUCACCUAUCUCCAGGCUGGGGGGGCUGGUGACAGAGAGGUGAGCCCCUUCCCUGGAAAAUACCCCCUCCCCAUGACUCCUGCCUCCAAUCUGGUCGCUCGGGGCUGGAGAGCUCUCCCUGCCCGUCUUUAACCCUUAAUGCCUCUGCUUUGGGGAUGGGCAGAGGAACAAUUCCUCCUCUUGAGUUAACCCUUGCUGGGCAGGAUAUGGGCACAGCCAGCUUAAGGCUGAUCCCUGCUCUCCUGCCAGUCCCGGAGGGUAGCGCUGUCCAGACUAUCCGUUCCCUACCUGAACAAGGCAUCUGCUCCAGGCCGGCCAAUUCACCCGGGAACUACCGAGAGAAGAGGAUAUUCCCUAUCAGGAUACAGCCUCAGUCCCGCCGAGCCCCAGCCCUCUCGCUGGGGCCCCGGCUCCGCCCGGUCCGUAGCUCCCGCAGGGGCUGCGCCGAGGCUGCGGGAACGGUGCGGGGGUGCGGGG